rnacentral:rRNA from 1 species
CAGCCGCCGCGGGAAAACGAAGGGGGCUAGCGUUGCUCGGAAUCACUGGGCGUAAAGGGUGCGUAGGCGGGUCUUUAAGUCAGGGGUGAAAUCCUGGAGCUCAACUCCAGAACUGCCUUUGAUACUGAAGAUCUUGAGUUCGGGAGAGGUGAGUGGAACUGCGAGUGUAGAGGUGAAAUUCGUAGAUAUUCGCAAGAACACCAGUGGCGAAGGCGGCUCACUGGCCCGAUACUGACGCUGAAGCACGAAAGCGUGGGGAGCAAACAGGAUUAGAUACCCCGGUAGUCCCUGUCUCUUAUAC